UACAGAGGUCUCAAGCGUUGUUCGGAAUCACUGGGCGUAAAGGGCGCGUAGGUGGCCUGAUAAGUAGGGGGUGAAAUCUCGAGGCUCAACUUCGAGGCUGCCUCCUAAACUGUCAGGCUUGAGCAGAGUAGAGGCAGGUGGAAUUCCCGGUGUAGCGGUGGAAUGCGUAGAGAUCGGGAAGAACAUCGGUGGCGAAGGCGGCCUGCUGGGCUCUUGCUGACACUGAGGCGCGACAGCGUGGGGAGCAAACAGG
rnacentral:rRNA from 1 species